rnacentral:rRNA from 1 species
UACGGAGGGAGCAAGCGUUACUCGGAAUUAUUGGGCGUAAAGGGCGCGUAGGCGAUUUGAAAAGUCUUGUGUGAAAGCCCCGAGCUUAACUCGGGAAGUGCACAAGAAACUGUUGAAUUUGAGUUCCGGAGAGGAAGGCAGAAUUCCCGGUGUAGCGGUGAAAUGCGUAGAUAUCGGGAGGAAUACCAGUGGCGAAGGCGGCCUUCGUGGACGGAGUACUGACGCUGAGGCGCGAAAGCCAGGGGAGCAAACGGGG